CAGUUAAAUACACCAGCCACUGCAAAGAUCAGCCGCUGGUCCCAGACCACACAUGAGGUUGCGGUAGCGCAUGGAUAAAGGCAUUAGAUUCGCUGGAGACUCGCUGGUCACUAGAGAGCUGGAAGGCUUUUACUGGUUCAAUUCUGCUGUAGCUGCCACUGACUGCUCAUCAAUGUGAGAAGCUUUCCAGAUCAGUUAAAAUCAGCUUCAAGAUGACCAAAUGGCCCACUCAAUAGCUAUAAGGACGAGAGCUAUACUGGACACAUCAGACAAAAAAAUAUCUUUAGUUACGUUCCUUGUUUCCCCCUGGAUAGUGUGGAUAUAAAAACUGUGUCUCGAGCUUGUUUCCAUAGCAGAUACUACUGUGAAGCUUCACACUCGCCUUGUGUCCUUGGCCCCUGUUAAUUCUGCGCACUGGCCCACACCUGUGAAGAUGAUGCGAGCCAAGGCCCUGUAAGUCCUCCGAGUACGGAUGAAUCCUCCAUUCAUUCUGCUUUCCACUCGGAGAAUGACGGACAGAGAGAGCUCCCAGCCAGCCCUCCAUGAGCAGGGAGAACAGCGGGUUCUCUGUGCCCUACAGUGGCCAUGUUUGCCUGGAGGAGCCAGGGAACAUCUGGUGAGAUUCUGCACCAUAGGGUGGCUGCAAAACAUUGGAUGUUUGAAUAAACGAACCCCGCAACCGCACCACAGAACACUGGAAGAGAGGGGACUCCUCACUCAAAGCUGCUUUCUCCCUCCCUGCUACAGUCUGAGCAGCAGUUAAACUUCAAAUAACCUCUGUGGUUCCUUCCCUCCUAGGGCAUGAACACAAUCAGAGGACAAGUAGACGGGUGUUUCCAGGAGCCAAUGAAAUAUUUUAUUUAUUUCAAUGGGAAAUCAAGCCAGCUGGCUCUUACAUGAAGCUAUCCCCUGGAAUUCACAAAUGCCACUUUCUUCUCCAUCGUGGAAGAAAAGAUACGUUGUAGUUUGGAACAAAGGUGAAACAAAAAAAUCCAAAAUUCCUGAAAAACGGGAUCGACAAAUUUUAGCGGCUGCCCUAACUCCAUGC
rnacentral:lncRNA from 1 species